CGAGGAUCAACCAGAGGAAAUACAGAACUGUGAAAGGAAAUAAUGCACCCUGGUGAAUAGUAAUUAGCACCUUGUGAACAGAAACAUUCACUCAGAAAUCAGCACACAUACCUAGAUAUAUCUAAAGUGAAUAAGCACUAAUGUAGCCAUGUACAUCAAGAAGGUUCUCAAGGUGAGCUAAAGUCAUUUGAACUCAUGUCUCUGACACAACCACCCACCAGCUUCCUCAGCUAAUCUAGCAGACAAAAAUACUAAUAACUAGGAAUUUGAUGUGAUAUCAAUAAUAAUGCUGACUCUAUUUCUCCAGCCUCAAAAACCAAGAUGCUUAGCUAAUUACAAGGGUAAAGGACAUCAUCUCCCCUUAACUAAUACCAACAACAUCUAAUGUGAGGAUGCCCAAAUUCAUGAGAGAAUCAUAAGCGAAAGUGAUCUGAUCAGGGAAGACAUUGAGUUUCUAGUACCUCUUCUUUGAUUUAGAUAAAAGGGUAUGGCAUACAAGAAACACUGGAACACUUUCCAGAUACUAAAGGUAAAAUGAGUAAGCCAUUAGAAUUGGUGAGAAGAACAUUUAGGAAUUUAUAAUUGUAUAUAGCUAGCAAUUGGAGUUAGUGAGUUGGUUUCUAAUUAGUUUUGAAUGUUCUCCAUUAGUUGCUCAGCAUGUAAGCAUAAGUUGUAAAUACUAGCAGAAGCCAUGUAAAAUGAUCAUUGAACAGUAAGAUUUUCUUUCUUUCUUCCCCCUAUCACUUACGAUACAAAUACCACCCAACAUAUUCAUGAUAUAUCAAAUAUACACCAUCCAAGUGCACAUUGUUAUUACUUGCACAUCUCAAAGAAUCUCAGAAGAACAUUGCAUUCCAAUGCUACCAAAUUACACAUGUACUUCACAGAAUAAAAUAUCAACAGUACCUGACUCCAAGUAUUAGAGCUGCUUCCCUUUUCGUCAUGACAGGAUGAAAGCCACCAUCAUAAAAUCGGCGAAGCCUAGCUGUUGGUGGUCUUGCCUUGAACGCUUGCCAAGCCUGGAUGCUGUAUCUGCCAGCAUAAGCAGCAGCAGCUACUGCAACACCUGCUAUAAAUGGUGCCACCAUAUCUGCGAUGAUCAAAAAGCUUGAAGAAGAAGAAAUGACGACUCGCGGCUUCUGGGGUUUUG
rnacentral:misc_RNA from 1 species